UACCCGCUGAACUUAAGCAUAUCAAUAAGCGGAGGAAAAGAAACCAACAGGGAUUACCUCAGUAACGGCGAGUGAAGCGGUAACAGCUCAAAUUUGAAAGCUGCCAACAGGCCGCGUUGUAAUUUGUAGAAGAUGCUUUGGGUGUUGGCCUAGUCUAAGUUCCUUGGAACAGGACGUCAUAGAGGGUGAGAAUCCCGUAUGUGAUUAGUGCUAUCUCCCGUGUAAAGCUCUUUCGACGAGUCGAGUUGUUUGGGAAUGCAGCUCAAAAUGGGUGGUAAAUUUCAUCUAAAGCUAAAUAUUGGCCAGAGACCGAUAGCGCACAAGUAGAGUGAUCGAAAGAUGAAAAGCACUUUGGAAAGAGAGUUAAACAGUACGUGAAAUUGUUGAAAGGGAAGCGCUUGCAAUCAGACUUGCGGGCGGUUGAUCAUCCGAGGUUCUCCCCGGUGCACUCGAUCGUCCUCAGGCCAGCAUCGGUUUCCGUGGUGGGAUAAAGGCUGUGAGAAUGUGGCUCUUCGGAGUGUUAUAGCUCACGGUGCAAUGCCACCUAUUGGGACCGAGGACCGCGCUUCGGCUAGGAUGCUGGCGUAAUGGUUGUAAGCGACCCGUCUUGAAACACGGACCAAGGAGUCUAACAUCUAUGCGAGUG
rnacentral:rRNA from 1 species